UACGAAGGGGGCUAGCGUUGCUCGGAAUCAUUGGGCGUAAAGCGCGUGUAGGCGGCCCGAUAAGUCCGCUGUGAAAGUCCAGGGCUCAACCCUGGGAUGCCGGUGGAUACUGUCGGGCUCGAGUCCGGAAGAGGAGUGUGGAAUUCCCAGUGUAGAGGUGAAAUUCGUAGAUAUUGGGAAGAACACCGGUGGCGAAGGCGGCUCUCUGGACCGAGACUGACGCUGAGGCGCGAAAGCGUGGGGAGCAAACAGGG
rnacentral:rRNA from 1 species